GGAAUAUUGGACAAUGGGGGCAACCCUGAUCCAGCCAUGCCGCGUGUGUGAAGAAGGCCUUCGGGUUGUAAACUCCUGUCAGGCGGAACGAAAUGUGCCGGCUAAUAAACGGUCACUAUGACGGUACCGCCAGAGGAAGCCCCGGCUAACUCCGUGCCAGCAGCCGCGGUAAUACGGAGGGGGCAAGCGUUAUUCGGAAUCAUUGGGCGUAAAGGGCGCGUAGGCGGCCAGGCAAGUCAGGGGUGAAAUCCCUCGGCUCAACCGAGGAAUUGCCUCUGAAACUGUCUGGCUUGAGACCGGGAGAGGGUGGUGGAAUUCCUAGUGUAGCGGUGAAAUGCGUAGAUAUUAGGAGGAACACCAGUGGCGAAGGCGACCACCUGGACCGGUUCUGACGCUGAGGCGCGAAAGUGUGGGGAGCA
rnacentral:rRNA from 1 species